GGGAGCUCUCCCAUAUGGUCGACCUGCAGGCGGCCGCGAAUUCACUAGUGAUUAGAGUUUGAUCAUGGCUCAGAGCGAACGCUGGCGGCAGGCUUAACACAUGCAAGUCGAGCGGGCGUAGCAAUACGUCAGCGGCAGACGGGUGAGUAACGCGUGGGAACGUACCUUUUGGUUCGGAACAACACAGGGAAACUUGUGCUAAUACCGGAUAAGCCCUUACGGGGAAAGAUUUAUCGCCGAAAGAUCGGCCCGCGUCUGAUUAGCUAGUUGGUGUGGUAACGGCGCACCAAGGCGACGAUCAGUAGCUGGUCUGAGAGGAUGAUCAGCCACAUUGGGACUGAGACACGGCCCAAACUCCUACGGGAGGCAGCAGUGGGGAAUAUUGGACAAUGGGCGCAAGCCUGAUCCAGCCAUGCCGCGUGAGUGAUGAAGGCCCUAGGGUUGUAAAGCUCUUUUGUGCGGGAAGAUAAUGACGGUACCGCAAGAAUAAGCCCCGGCUAACUUCGUGCCAGCAGCCGCGGUAAUACGAAUCGAAUUCCCGCGGCCGCCAUGGCGGCCGGGAGCAUGCGAC
rnacentral:rRNA from 1 species